GGACGAAGUCUGACGGANCACGCCGCGUGAGUGAUGAAGGUUUUCGGAUCGUAAAGCUCUGUUGUUAGGGAAGAACAAGUGCCGUUCAAAUAGGGCGGCACCUUGACGGUACCUAACCAGAAAGCCACGGCUAACUACGUGCCAGCAGCCGCGGUAAUACGUAGGUGGCAAGCGUUGUCCGGAAUUAUUGGGCGUAAAGGGCUCGCAGGCGGUUUCUUAAGUCUGAUGUGAAAGCCCCCGGCUCAACCGGGGAGGGUCAUUGGAAACUGGGGAACUUGAGUGCAGAAGAGGAGAGUGGAAUUCCACGUGUAGCGGUGAAAUGCGUAGAGAUGUGGAGGAACACCAGUGGCGAAGGCGACUCUCUGGUCUGUAACUGACGCUGAGGAGCGAAAGCGUGGGGAGCGAACAGGAUUAGAUACCCUGGUAGUCCACGCCGUAAACGAUGAGUGCUAAGUGUUAGGGGGUUUCCGCCCCUUAGUGCUGCAGCUAACGCAUUAAGCACUCCGCCUGGGGAGUACGGUCGCAAGACUGAAACUCAAAGGAAUUGACGGGGGCCCGCACAAGCGGUGGAGCAUGUGGUUUAAUUCGAAGCAACGCGAAGAACCUUACCAGGUCUUGACAUCCUCUGACAAUCCUAGAGAUAGGACGUCCCCUUCGGGGGCAGAGUGACAGGUGGUGCAUGGUUGUCGUCAGCUCGUGUCGUGAGAUGUUGGGUUAAGUCCCGCAACGAGNGGCAACCCNAAA
rnacentral:rRNA from 2 species